rnacentral:rRNA from 1 species
AUGAAUCACAAAGAUGGCGCUGAUGCUUGGGGUUCUCAAAGGCCAGAAACGCCCCCUUGGGAUGCAUCAGAGUAUAGUCAACUCAUCUCUGCAGGGCCGGUGCUGCCACUACUAGAACACUAUGCAGGCAUAGGUUCUUAUGACCAAAACACUCUUAGGGGGCCCCCGUGGCAAGUUCAGUCACAAGGCGCUAACACUGACAAAUGUACGGGCAGCCAACUUCAACUAGCUAGUAUGGCUAAUCAAGAGUCUUCAUGCAGCACGUGGCAUCAGGCAGCACCCAUAUACCUGCCAUCGACGUCAUACACAGGGCCUACAACUACAGUGAACAGCGGCGCGGGGACAUCUACUGUGGGGAGCUCUGAGCGCACGGAAGACGCGUUCCACCAGCCAGCAGACAAUCAUGCCACAAACAAUUUUGAGUCAGAGUCGGGAAUGGCAAUCAUUCCAGCAAUGCCAACAAGCACCCCUUUGAACACAAUCACUGCCAACACUCAAGUAGAUGGAACUGCCGCCGAUACUGAAGUGAAUGAUGAAACUGACGACGACGCACAAGGGGAUGAAGAUGGUGCACAAUCAGAGAUCAUGGUACCUCAGCCACCGUACAUUGGGCAGAGAUUUGAAUCAUUCGAAGAAGCAAAGGAAUACUACCGGACAUAUGCAAAGUUCCAUGGAUUUGCGGUCAACACCGAGUACCAUAUGAAAAUUAAGAAAACUAACGAGUACAGCAGAGAUGAGAUGAGGUUCCACAAGGCACGGAGGAACAAGAAGGGGAAAGGUGUUGCGCCUGUUGUUCCGGAACGAAAGAGAGGUAUCAUUCUCAAGACUGAGUGCCCUGUCCGGUGUAAGCUAAACGUAGAUGGAGGACAGUGGGUGGUCAAUGAGUAUUUUGACGAGCACAACCACCAACUCAUAAAGAAGUUUGACCUGGUAAAAUUUCUGACCACCCACAGAGGGUUCACCCCCGUCGAAAGGCAAUUCGUAAAGCUGCUACAUGAUUGUAACGCCGGUCCAUCAAGAAUGGUACAGAUACUAUCUCUCAUCCACAGCAAAAAGGGGACUCUGAGUAGCAUGCCGUACAUACCAGCUGACGUCACAAACCUACAGGCCAAGUACCGUAGAGAGAGCAGAUUCCGGGAAGAAAUAAAGCGUGCCAGCAUGUUCAUGGCUUUCCAGGUGGACGAACAUACGUUCAAGGUGUGUUCUAUUUUGGGCAUGUCAGAUUCAGAACCUGAAGACCCGGACAAAGAAAGGAACUACUUCGUCAAAGCCUCGAUAGGCGAAGGCGAGUACAACUGCCAAUGCUGCAAGUUCGAAUGA